rnacentral:rRNA from 1 species
GUNUGAAGUUAAAGGCAGUGGCUCAACCAUUGUAGGCUUUGGAANCUGUUUAACUUGAGUGCAGAAGGGGAGAGUGGAAUUCCAUGUGUAGCGGUGAAAUGCGUAGAUAUAUGGAGGAACACCGGUGGCGAAAGCGGCUCUCUGGUCUGUAACUGACGCUGAGGCUCGAAAGCGUGGGGAGCGAACAGGAUUGGAUACCCUGGUAGUCCACGCCGUAAACGAUGAGUGCUAGGUGUUAGGUCCUUUCCGGGACUUAGUGCCGCAGCUAACGCAUUAAGCACUCCGCCUGGGGAGUACGACCGCAAGGUUGAAACUCAAAGGAAUUGACGGGGGCCCGCACAAGCGGUGGAGCAUGUGGUUUAAUUCGAAGCAACGCGAAGAACCUUACCAGGUCUUGACAUCCUGAUGCCCGCUCUAGAGAUAGAGCUUUACUUCGGUACAUCGGUGACAGGUGGUGCGUGGUUGUCGUCAGCUCGUGUCGUGAGAUGUUGGGUUAAGUCCCGCAACGAGCGCAACCCUUAUUGUUAGUUGCCAUCAUUCAGUUGGGCACUCUAGCGAGACUGCCGGUAAUAAACCGGAGGAAGGUGGGGAUGACGUCAAAUCAUCAUGCCCCUUAUGACCUGGGCUACACACGUGCUACAAUGGCUGGUACAACGAGUCGCAAGCCGGUGACGGCAAGCUAAUCUCUGAAAGCCAGUCUCAGUUCGGAUUGUAGGCUGCAACUCGCCUACAUGAAGUCGGAAUCGCUAGUAAUCGCGGAUCAGCACGCCGCGGUGAAUACGUUCCCGGGCCUUGUACACACCGCCCGUCACACCACGAGAGUUUGUAACACCCGAAGUCGGUGAGGUAACCGUAAGGANCCA